rnacentral:rRNA from 1 species
AACGCGAAGAACCUUACCUGGGCUCGAAAUGUAGUGGAAUCCGGUAGAAAUACCGGCGUCUAGCAAUAGACUGCUAUAUAGGUGCUGCAUGGCUGUCGUCAGCUCGUGUCGUGAGAUGUUGGGUUAAGUCCCGCAACGAGCGCAACCCUUAUCCCUAGUUGCCAUCGGGUCAAGCCGGGCACUCUAGUGAAACCGCCUGGGAUAACCAGGAGGAAGGUGGGGAUGACGUCAAGUCCUCAUGGCCUUUAUGUCCAGGGCUACACACGUGCUACAAUGGUCGGUACAAACCGUCGCAAACUCGCGAGAGGGAGCUAAUCGGAAAAAGCCGGCCUCAGUUCGGAUUGGAGUCUGCAACCCGACUCCAUGAAGCUGGAAUCGCUAGUAAUGGCGCAUCAGCUACGGCGCCGUGAAUACGUUCCCGGGCCUUGUACACACCGCAUAC